UCCAGGGUAGCCUAGUGGACAUGGCAUCUGCCCGGUAAGCGGAAGGUUUGUGGGUUCGAUUCCCGCCCCUGGAC